rnacentral:lncRNA from 1 species
UAAAGAAGACCCUGUUUUGACAGUUCUUGUGGAACAAGGGAUUUAAAAACUUCUGAACCCACCUCAGAUCUUUCCAAUUCUUUUGACAUAAGCACAGAAACAGAUUCAUCUCAUUCUCGUUGGAGUUUUCAUCUUCAUUCAUAAAAGGCCGCGUGUCUGCAAGUCCACUUGUUUAUAUUUCUCCCCAAUUCUAGUCAAUUUUCUGAAUGGAUUGCUACCUCUUUGUUCUACCUGGUAUGUAACUCCAUACAUCUCCUUUUAUCCUUCUUCUUCUUCUUCUUCUUCUUCUUCUUCUUCCUGUAGGUUUUUUGGCCAAAUCAAGAGUACCCAUUAAUUGCCACUUCUGAUUCUGUCCUUUUAUACUUACCCAGCUCUUAAUUCUUGUGUGUUUUGGUUCAUUUUGGUCUCCAUGCCUAAAUAUCAACUUCUAUCUAUGAAUUCUGCAAGUGGGUGUCUCUUUUCAUGGCUAAAUUAAGAUACUCUUUAAGUGCUUGAUUGAUUUGAACCUCUGGGAGAUUUUUGGACGCGUCAAAUAUAUUUGGUUUUUGUAAUUCUGCCCCUUUAUCUUUCUCAAUUUGCCAUUUUGACUCUUGUAUCAUUGCUUGGUGCAAAGUUUCAUACCCUUGAUUCCUUUAUUGCUCUUCAUUUUCCAAAUUGCUUCAAUUUUCCCAAAUCCAG